UACGGAGGGGGCAAGCGUUGUUCGGAAUUAUUGGGCGUAAAGGGCGCGUAGGCGGCUAGAUGUGUCAAAGGUGAAAUCCCUCGGCUCAACUGAGGAACUGCCUUUGAAACUGUCUGGCUUGAGGCCGGGAGAGGGUAGCGGAAUUCCCAGUGUAGCGGUGAAAUGCGUAGAUAUUGGGAGGAACACCAGUGGCGAAGGCGGCUACCUGGACCGGUUCUGACGCUGAGGCGCGAAAGCGUGGGUAGCAAACGGG
rnacentral:rRNA from 1 species